CCCCUAGAUGUUCUGGGCCGCACGCGCGCUACACUGAACAGUUCAACAAGUCUUAACCUUGGCCGAUAGGUCUGGGUAAUCUUUGAACGCUGUUCGUGAUUGGGAUAGACCUUUGCAAUUAUGGGUCUUCAACGAGGAAUUCCUAGUAAACGCAAGUCAUCAGCUUGCAUUGAUUACGUCCCUGCCCUUUGUACACACCGCCCGUCGCACCUACCGAUUGAAUGGUCCGGUGAAAUCUCGGGACGGCGGCUUGGUCGCUUGCGUCCGACUGCUGAAACUUGAUUAAACCAUNUNAUUUANNGGAAGGUGAANUCGUANCA
rnacentral:rRNA from 1 species